GACGAACGCUGGCGGCGUGCUUAACACAUACAAGUCGAACGGUAAGGCCCUUCGGGGUACACGAGUGGCGAACGGGUGAGUAACACGUGGGUGAUCUGCCCUGCACUUCGGGAUAAGCCUGGGAAACUGGGUCUAAUACCGGAUAGGACCACUGCCUGCAUGGGUGGUGGUGGAAAGCUUUUGCGGUGUGGGAUGGGCCCGCGGCCUAUCAGCUUGUUGGUGGGGUGAUGGCCUACCAAGGCGACGACGGGUAGCCGGCCUGAGAGGGUGACCGGCGACACUGGGACUGAGAUACGGCCCAGACUCCUACGGGAGGCAGCAGUGGGGAAUAUUGCACAAUGGGCGCAAGCCUGAUGCAGCGACGCCGCGUGAGGGAUGACGGCCUUCGGGUUGUAAACCUCUUUCAGCACCGACGAAGCGCAAGUGACGGUAGGUGCAGAAGAAGGACCGGCCAACUACGUGCCAGCAGCCGCCGUAA
rnacentral:rRNA from 1 species